rnacentral:rRNA from 1 species
UACGAAGGGGGCGAGCGUUGUUCGGAUUUACUGGGCGUAAAGGGCGCGUAGGCGGCGGGUCAAGUCGAGUGUGAAAGCCCCGGGCUCAACCUGGGAAUUGCGCUCGAGACUGGUCUGCUUGAGUUCGGGAGAGGAGAGUGGAAUUCCCAGUGUAGAGGUGAAAUUCGUAGAUAUUGGGAAGAACACCGGUGGCGAAGGCGGCGCUCUGGACCGAGACGUGACGCUGAGGCGCGAAAGCGUGGGGAGCAAACAGGG